rnacentral:rRNA from 1 species
AUUGAACGCUGGCGGCAUGCCUUACACAUGCAAGUCGAACGGCAGCACGGGAGCAAUCCUGGUGGCGAGUGGCGAACGGGUGAGUAAUAUAUCGGAACGUGCCCAGUCGUGGGGGAUAACGCAGCGAAAGCUGUGCUAAUACCGCAUACGAUCUAUGGAUGAAAGCGGGGGAUCGCAAGACCUCGCGCGAUUGGAGCGGCCGAUAUCAGAUUAGCUAGUUGGUGAGGUAAAGGCUCACCAAGGCGACGAUCUGUAGCUGGUCUGAGAGGACGACCAGCCACACUGGAACUGAGACACGGUCCAGACUCGUACGGGAGGCAGCAGUGGGGAAGUUUGGACAAGGGGCGAAAGCCUGAUCCAGCAAUGCCGCGUGCAGGAUGAAGGCCUUCGGGUUUUAAACUGCUUUUGUACGGAACGAAACGGUGAGCUCUAAUACAGUUUGCUAAUGACGGUACCGUAAGAAUAAGCACAGGCUAACUACGUGCCAGCCGCCGCGGUAACAC